GCCGGGCGUGGUGGUGCAUGCCUGUAAUCCCAGCUACUCAGGAGGCUGAGGCAGGAGAAUCACUCGAACCCGGGAGGCAGAGGCUGCAGUGAGCAAAGAUCUGGCCACUGCACUCCAGCCUGGGCGACAGAGCGAGACUCCGUCUCAA
rnacentral:SRP_RNA from 1 species